rnacentral:lncRNA from 10 species
GUCUUUGCAAGAAACCAUUCAGUCCCUCAAGCUUACCAACCAGGAGCUGCUGAGGAAGGGUAGCAGUAACAACCAGGAUGUCGUCACCUGUGACAUGGCCUGCAAGGGCCUGUUGCAGCAGGUUCAGGGUCCUCGGCUGCCCUGGACGCGGCUCCUCCUGUUGCUGCUGGUCUUCGCUGUAGGCUUCCUGUGCCAUGACCUCCGGUCACACAGCUCCUUCCAGGCUGGCUGGGGGAGACACUGCCGCUCUGGGGCUCCCACCUGCUCACCGUGGUGCGGCCCAGCUUGCAGCUGGCCUGGGCUCACACCAAUGCCACAGUCAGCUUCCUUUCUGCCCACUGUGCCUCUCACCUUGCGUGGUUUGGUGACAGUCUCACCAGUCUCUCUCAGAGGCUACAGAUCCAGCUCCCCGAUUCCGUGAAUCAGCUACUCCGCUAUCUGAGAGAGCUGCCCCUGCUUUUCCACCAGAAUGUGCUGCUGCCACUGUGGCACCUCUUGCUUGAGGCCCUGGCCUGGGCCCAGGAGCACUGCCAUGAGGCAUGCAGAGGUGAGGUGACCUGGGACUGCAUGAAGACACAGCUCAGUGAGGCUGUCCACUGGACCUGGCUUUGCCUACAGGACAUUACAGUGGCUUUCUUGGACUGGGCACUUGCCCUGAUAUCCCAGCAGUAGGCCCUGCCUUCCUGGCCACUGAUUUCUGCAUGGGUAGACCAUCCAAGACUGCAGCGGGUAGAAGGUGGCAGUUCUUCAUGGGAGUCUUUUUAACUUGGUGCCUGAGUUCUCUCCUAGGCAAGUGGCCAGUUGCCUCCACCUCAGUUCUUCCAUCUUUGGUGG